UCAAGACUGCAUUUUAUGAUGAUGUUACUAAUGAAAGUGGCCUAAAAGAAGAGAUGGUGAAGGAAAUCACACCGGGAUACUAUGAUGAUGUCAUCACUGAUGGACUGAAACCAGAUCGUGAGACAGAAGACACACCUGAGAGCUAUGAUGAUGUCAUGACAAGGGGACAGAACUCUAUCAAAAAA